rnacentral:rRNA from 1 species
UACGGAGGGUGCAAGCGUUAAUCGGAAUUACUGGGCGUAAAGCGUGCGUAGGUGGUUGACUAAGUUAUCUGUGAAAUCCCCGGGCUUAACCUGGGCAGGUCAGAUGAUACUGGUUGACUCGAGUAUGGGAGAGGGUAGUGGAAUUUCCGGUGUAGCGGUGAAAUGCGUAGAGAUCGGAAGGAAUACCAGUGGCGAAGGCGGCUACCUGGCCUAAUACUGACACUGAGGCACGAAAGCGUGGGGAGCAAACAGGG